UUACAUCUUGUGUUUUCCCCUCCUUGUUGAUUGUCCUCACCUGUGCCUUGUUGGUCUCACCUGUGUCCUGUUACUCGUUACCCACUGUGUAUAUAGUCUCCGUGUUUCCUCCCUUCUGUGUCAGAUCAUUAUCUACCCCACCCGGAUGUUCCUAAUAUUUGACUUGUUUCUGUGUUUCCAGUGUUUUUGUUCGACACUUAUUACAUCAGCAUUUGUAGCCUGUACAGCAAGAAGGCGUCUGGGCAGAGCCAGUGCAAGAAGAGGAACGACACUCAGGAUACCACGACACACUUCAGGCAUACUGUGACCGACAGAGAGAGAGGAACAAAAAUAACAAAAGACAUCAACAACAUGUUCAAGUUCAUGUGAGAGAUUGUACCUGCAGUGGACGACAAUGGGUCCAGUGUCUGGAAUGCUACUCUGAGUGCGGUUGACUUCCUCCAGGAACCACAAGACCCCACCUGGUUCAUUUGGCACGCCGUGGUCAGGCCAGCUCAGGUACUGGUAAUGCCAGAUGUACCUCAGAGGCUCCCUCUGCAGGAAAAGCACAGCAGAAUAAAGAUAAGGAUAACA